UACGUAGGGUGCGAGCGUUAAUCGGAAUUACUGGGCGUAAAGCGUGCGCAGGCGGUUUCGUAAGCUGGAGGUGAAAUUUCCGGGUUUAACCUGGGAAUGGCCUUCAGGAAUGCGAGGCUAGAGUGCGGCAGAGGGAGGUGGAAUUCCACGUGUAGCAGUGAAAUGCGUAGAGAUGUGGAGGAACACCGAUGGCGAAGGCAGCCUCCUGGGCCAGCACUGACGCUCAUGCACGAAAGCGUGGGGAGCAAACAGG
rnacentral:rRNA from 1 species